rnacentral:rRNA from 1 species
ACGGAAGGCAGCAGUGGGGGAUAUUGCACAAUGGGGGAAACCCUGACGCAGCGACGCCGCGUGAGCGAAGAAGUAUUUCGGUAUGUAAAGCUCUAUCAGCAGGGAAGAAAAUGACGGUACCUGACUAAGAAGCUCCGGCUAAAUACGUGCCAGCAGCCGCGGUAAUACGUAUGGAGCAAGCGUUAUCCGGAUUUACUGGGUGUAAAGGGAGCGUAGACGGUUUGCCAAGUCUGAUGUGAAAGGUGGGGGCUCAACCCCCAAACUGCAUUGGAAACUGGUAGACUAGAGUGUCGGAGAGGUAAGUGGAAUUCCUAGUGUAGCGGUGAAAUGCGUAGAUAUUAGGAGGAACACCAGUGGCGAAGGCGGCUUACUGGACGAUAACUGACGUUGAGGCUCGAAAGCGUGGGGAGCAAACAGGAUUAGAUACCCUGGUA